GCAGACACAUUCCAGCCAAUCAGCAGCAGACCCUCCCUCCCAGAUCCUCCCACCUCCUGGACAGCAUCCAUUUUACAUUCAUUGUGAAGCUGCAUUCUUAGUGAGCUGUCCAGGAGGUGGGAGGGUCUGGGAGGGAGGGUCUGCUGCUGAUUGGCUGAAAUGUGUCUG